UACGUAGGGGGCAAGCGUUGUCCGGAUUUAUUGGGCGUAAAGAGCGUGUAGGCGGCCAGGUAGGUCUGCUGUGAAAACUCGAGGCUUAACCUCGAGAUGUCGGCGGAAACCAUCUGGCUAGAGUCCGGAAGAGGAGAGCGGAAUUCCUGGUGUAGCGGUGAAAUGCGUAGAGAUCGGGAGGAACAUCCGUGGCGAAGGCGACUACCUGGACCAGCACUGACACUGAGGCACGAAAGCGUGGGGAGCAAACAAGG
rnacentral:rRNA from 1 species